UCCGGCUCAACGCCGGCAGUCUCUCUAGAGUCCCCACCAUUACGUGCUGGCAACUAGAAACGGGGGUUGCGCUCGUUGCGGGACUUAACCCAACACCUCACGACACGAGCUGACGACAGCCAUGCACCACCUGUGUACCACCUUCGAAAGCGGCCCCUUUUCGGGGGAUUGCAGGUACAUGUCAAGCCCUGGUAAGGUUCUUCGCGUUGCAUCGAAUUAAGCCAUAUGCUCCACCGCUUGUGCGGGCCCCCGCCAAUUCCUUUGAGUUUCAACCUUGCGGCCGUAGUCCCCAGGCGGUUCACUUAAUGCGUUAGCUGCGGCACUGAGGGAAACCCCCAACACCUAGUGAACAUAGUUUAGGGCCAAGACUAC
rnacentral:misc_RNA from 1 species